rnacentral:rRNA from 1 species
AGAGUUUGAUCAUGGCUCAGAGCGAACGCUGGCGGCAGGCUUAACACAUGCAAGUCGAACGGAUCCUUCGGGAUUAGUGGCGGACGGGUGAGUAACACGUGGGAACGUGCCUUUUGGUUCGGAACAACACAGGGAAAACUUGUGCUAAUACCGGAUGUGCCCUUCGGGGGAAAGAUUUAUCGCCAUUAGAGCGGCCCGCGUCUGAUUAGCUAGUUGGUGAGGUAAAGGCUCACCAAGGCUACGAUCAGUAGCUGGUCUGAGAGGAUGAUCAGCCACACUGGGACUGAGACACGGCCCAGACUCCUACGGGAGGCAGCAGUGGGGAAUCUUGCGCAAUGGGGGAAACCCUGACGCAGCCAUGCCGCGUGAAUGAUGAAGGUCUUAGGAUUGUAAAAUUCUUUCAGCGGGGACGAUAAUGACGGUACCCGCAGAAGAAGCUCCGGCUAACUUCGUGCCAGCAGCCGCGGUAAUACGAAGGGGGCUAGCGUUGCUCGGAAUUACUGGGCGUAAAGGGCGCGUAGGCGGACAGUUAAGUCAGAGGUGAAAGCCCAGGGCUCAACCCUGGAAUUGCCUUUGAUACUGGCUGUCUUGAGUAUGGGAGAGGUGAGUGGAACUCCGAGUGUAGAGGUGAAAUUCGUAGAUAUUCGGAAGAACACCAGUGGCGAAGGCGACUCACUGGCCCAUUACUGACGCUGAGGGCGAAAGCGUGGGGAGCAAACAGGAUUAGAUACCCUAGUAGUCC